GCAUUUGUCAACUGGGGAUUGAGUGUCUGCUCUACCUCUCAGGGCUUCAGCCCAUCAGAGCCUCAUAGAGGAAACUAUGGGCGGUAGUGCCACCUGAACUCAGGCACCCAGACCCAGGAAGGCCCCGGGCGCAGAGCCCGUCUCUGUUGCUACGGAAAGGGCCUCAGGCCCUGGAGACGCCACGUAGGCACCUCUUCUAACGGGACCCUGGCGCCAGCAAAUUCGGCUCCAUUGCAAUGAGAGGAAACAAUGAGGCCAGGAGAGGGGCUGCGCCUGGGCAAGGACACCUGGGGGCGGACACCUCUCUCAUCCUGGGACCUGGCCACCUGGCAGGCACUGUGCUAAGUUCCGUGGGGGCAGGAUGAUUGCUUAUUGUCAUCUUUAAUCUACCCCCGCCCCCCAGGAUACAAAGGUUCAGAGAAAAGUGACAACUCCAAGGCCACACAGCGAGAGGGGCUAUGCUGAGAUUGGAACCCAUGCCUGGUUGACCCCAAGGAGUCCCGGCCUCUCAGCCACCAGGAGAAAUGAGGCCACAGGCA